AAAUACAUGUAAACCAUAAUUAAAAGGUAAAACUUUUUCAAAAUUUAUCGAAUAGGAUCGCAUCUGUUCUAGUGGCGGAUGAUGUAGCGCACACAUUCAAAAAGUCACAUUAAGUUCAAUGGGACGACGAUUGCGUGUUCCAUCUUUUUAGCAGAUACACUUUUACCACUUAUUGUCAUAUCUAACUAUUGAGAUCUUUAUUCAACAAACAAUCGAUAGAAUAUCAAUAUUUUAAACUACUUCGAAUCGAAAUAAAGCUUCUUUCAACGAGACAAAAAAAUAGCAAAACAUUUCAUUAUUAUAAUAUAGCUUCUCGCAUUUAGUCCGAGUUAUUUCUUGUUUCUUAUGUGACCUUUUCUCUGAAGCAUAGACGGACGUUCUAUAUUGUUACUGCUGGAGACUGUUUUUAUUAAGGCUAGAACAGACAAGUUACGAUUAAAUCAUAUCUGUAAAUCGAUAUUAUCUACCGGUUACAACUGAUUUAAAUAAUAACUAAUAAUUAUAAUUGUCAACGUUGCAGUCUACUUUUUUCUAUUUUGCAAUAAUAUCAAAAUGAACUUCAUAUUUUAGAACUUUAUUAAAACAUGCAGCUAUCACUGUGAUUGCUAUGUCAAAUUUUAAAAUACACCUAGGACAUAUCAAACGAUAUCUAAGAACAACUGUGUUGGAUGAAUGAAAAAACCCGUACGUAUGCAACCGUCUUCCUAUUUCACAUAUUUCUGUUUAAUUCAUUUACUGCUCAAGUACAAGUUUAGGGAAUGCUAUUGACAAUUGUGUCCGACAUUAUUAAACAUGUUUUUUCGUACAUGUAUAAACAUUUAUUAAAUUAAUAAUAGAGAUUGUAUAAUAACUGCUAUGUUUCACGUAUCCAUCAUGUUCUGGCUUAUUGAGAUAGAGAUAUAUGUUUAUAACAAAUUAGUCAUAUCAUCAGACUUUAAGCGUGUUUGAACUUCGAUUCUCUGUGCAAAGUCCGAUACUUGGUGUUACUUGCUGAUCGAGCGCGGCUUCCAUCUGUGGAAUUCUUCUUUUCAAAUUGAACAGCACGUUUGAAAACACGAUUAACGGAAAAACCACAGACAUGCAUUCAUCUGACCGAUAAAUUGCUAUGACACCCAAGGGAUCUCUGAACAUAGCGGUCAGUGCCAGCACCGACAUUGCUGGCCAUAAAUUGUGUUUAAUUCCUACACGUCACUUUGAAAUCCCCGACUAUGAGACAAGGAGAUAAAACGCGACGGCAAAUUUAUGAAGACUCCUUUUGCAUUGUUUUGUCAGCUUUAUUUUUGGCGGAAUUGAUAUCGGUCCCCCAUGAUCAAGAGCAUCAACUGUAAUGUCGAUUCAUCUUUUUAUCGGUAUACAAUUGCGCCAUAUCCAGAAUAAAACAAAAUGACGAACUUUGCUGGAAUAUUCGGGGUAUACGCUCGGACUUUCUUUGGUUCAACUUUAGGAAACCCUAGCUGCACAAAUGUGGUAUAUGUUAAUGCCUCAAAAUGCGGUCAGCCGAUUCGCAUGGAAUAAUCUUUAUAACAAGAUCAUGGCAUGUUUGUACACAUAAAUGAAACUGAAGACUAAAGUCCAAAACCUAAUACACUGAGAAAGCGGACAGAAAAUGAUACUCAAGUUCAUAAUAAGCAUAACUACUUCAAUUAAUAAUAAAAAAUAUAUAUGUCUAUCAUUCUAGAAUGUUUUCUUUAUUAAAAUGGUUUCAUUGAAUUGUUUUAGUUUUCCAGUGGAAUUUUUCUUAUCAGGUCUCAUUUGUUUGCAACUUUAUCUUCAUUUACUAAAUGAUAUUUUGAUUUUGAUUGUGAAAUUGUUACAUAAAAUCGUCAACGUACAUGUAGUUUAACUGAUGUUAUGAAUAUUCAUUUUAUUUAGUCAAUAAUACAUUUCUUGUAUUGUUUAAACUAUGUGUCGAGAGUUGAGAGUGAAUAUACCCAAAAAAUAUAAAAGAUGUACAUGGAUGCGUUUUGUAUACAUUAAAGUUAAAAAUUACGAUGUCUUGCAUUGGGGUAAAUUUACCCCAUAAAACUGCAAAACAAUCAUGAUCGGUAUAUAGUUUAUAAGGUUUAAACUUUGUAAAAAUGACGUCUUGUGUUGGGGGGUAAAUUAAUCCCCCAACAAUGCAACACAGUUAUUUUUUGUUUAUUUCGAAGACUUCGAUUUGUAAAAACGUCGUCUUGUGUUGGGGGAUUUUUACCCCCCCCCCCCCCCCAAAAAAAAAAGAAAAAAGAAUUGCAACACAGUCAUUUUCUGUAUUUUUUUUGGGGGGGGGACUUCGACUCUGUAAAGAUGGCAUCUUGUGUUGGGGUAAAUUUACCCCCAACGAAUUGCAACAUAGCCAUUUUUUGUUUAUUUUUAAGGCUUUGGCUUUUUAAAUAUGCCAUCUUGUGUUGAAGGAAAUUUACCCCCAAAAGAAUUGCAACACAGUCAUUUUCCGUAUUUUUUUGGCUUCGAAUCUGUAAAGAUGGCAUCUUGUGUUGGGAGAAAAUUUACCUCCAUUGAAUUGCAGCAGAGUAAUUUUUUUGUUUAUUUCUAUGGCUUUGACUUUGUAAAGAUGUCAUUUUGUGUUUGGAGGAAAUUUACCCCCAAAGAAUUGAAACACAGACAUUUUUUGUUUCUUAUUAGGUCUUUGACUUUGUAAUGCUGUCAUUUUAUUUUGGAGAAAAUUUACCCCCAAAUAUUGCAACACACGCAGUCAUAUUAUGUUUAAUUAUAUAGCUUUGACUCUGUAAAGAUGUCAUCUUGCGUUGGAGGAAAUUUACCCCAAAGAAUAGCAGCACAUCUUAUUUCUGUAUAUUUUUAUGGCUUCGACUCUGUAAAGAUGUCAUCUUGUGUUGGAGGAAAUUUA